UUUCACAAGUACAGACGACCCUGUAACUUUAACAGAAAUACAGCCUUAAGGAAUUCACUAAUCACUACCAAAAAAAUCUGGGAUAUGGAUAAUAAUUCACUGUUACAACAUUUAUAUGAAAAAGCAGAGACGGGAUGAAAUCUGAGACAUCUGUUAUCUGUGUGAUUUGGUACAACAUCAGCCAUAUCAUCACAGAGCCAACACGAGAACUGUGUGAAGAGGCGAUGUCUGACAGAAACCAGUGAGUGGUAUCUGAUGUCUGCAGCUCCAUAAUGAUUACAAGCAUUCAUACAGAGACAUCAAACGAGUGAAAGACCUCCAUGUACAACUCCAAAAUAAGGGGAAAUAAAAAUAUUCUGAUGUGCACUCACACAAAAUGGAGUAAGUUUUCAACCAUACUGAUUUUAGCUGACGUUAUCAGAAAGUACCAAUUUUCAUGUCAACUGAAAUACCUGAUUUUUGUCACGUGUGAGCAGGUGAGUAU